ACUUUGAAGAAAGACUUCGCGACUCCCGGACACUGCUCGUGGUACUCGAUCCCAGUGUGUGUUGUGUGUUUUAUGUAUUACAGCACAUCUUGGUUUGGACAGACCACAUUGUGGCCAGUGGCUGCCAUAUUGGACAGCACUGGUGUAAGAGGGUCCAUCUCUCACUCCCACAUCAAUGUCCAAUGGUUUCUCAUUCAACUGGAAAGUGAAAUUGGAAAUCUUGCAAAAGAUGAAGAAUUAUGAAUGUGAUACGUUGAACUGCUGGGCCCACCCACAAGACAUCGACAAAUGAAGGUGUGGAAGGGUUAAACCAGUUAACAUUGAACAAAGGACAAUGGAUAUGAUGAGUUACAGGCUGAGGUGUAUCCCUCCACAGUUCACAUGUUGAAGUCCUAACCUUUAGUACCUCAGGAUGUAACUUAUUUGGAAACAGGAUCAUUAUAGAAGUUAAAAUGAGGUCAUUAGAGUGGGCCCUAAUCUUAAUAACCUAUCCUUAUAAAAGGGAAAUUUGAACACAGAGACACCCAGAGGGAAGAUGAUGUGAAGACACAGAGAGAAGACAGCCAUCAGCAAGCCAAGGAGAGAAGUCUGGAAUGGAUCCUCCCUUCACAGCCCUCAGAAGGAACCAAGCCAGCCAGCCUCCCGAUCUCACACUUUUAGCCUCCAGAUCUGUGAGACAAUAAGUUUAUGUUGUUUAAGCCCUCCAGUCUGUGGUACUUUGUAAUGUAGCCCCAGCAAACUAAAACAUGGGUUGGCUGGUGGCAUUAGAACAAUUUGCCCAUGAAAAGGUUACAGGCAGCCUAUAGGACAAUUGAAGAUGCAUUCUACUUUCUGCCUGCACUGUGCAUCUAGUGAAGAAAAAAAAAAACCUCAAUAACUAUCAGCGAUUCAUGGUGUCAUGGAGGCUCCCUCUGCACAUAUCUUAGGGAAAGGAGAGGAUAAAUGGUGGGUAGUGGAAGUUCAAGCCUCCAUCCCUUAUUAUCUGUGUAAUGAAUGGGCCAACACACCUCAUUCCUUGAGUUCCUGGCAAGUAGAACUUUCUCCACUAAAGUUUCUGACAAAAGGCCUUCUCCAAAUAAGACCCAAUGAGACAUUUGGGAUUCACUGCCUCCUACUUUCUACAAACAAAUAGAAAAGGCAGGAAGCACAGCUAACAACAUUGGUGGCCAGCUGAAGGAGUUUACACACCCUACCAUGACCCUGGUAGAGUAGAGACAGCAUGAGUUGAAGCCUGCUGCUCAGAACCCACUGCAACUAAGUGUGUGUGUGUGUUUUCUGCCGUUCCAAUACAGAUCUGCCUGCCACACAGUGGAGCCCUCUCUUGGACUCUGAAUGCGUAGCCCAGCAAAGCCAAGCAACUGAAUCUCACCAUCACAACAGCUGAGAGCAGCUUCAUCAAAGCAGUCAGUGGUACAUGUGAUCAAUUUCUUUUUUGUAUUUCUGGGCUACAAAAUGUCUCUUAAGUUUCAUCAUUGGACCUAUCGAGAAAGGAGAAAUCGUUUGAGUUGUGGAGAUAAAAGAAAAUAACACACACCCACGCAUGACCAGGCAACAGAGUCCCAUGCCUGGGGCUAGGCUGGGUGGCUAGCUGCGCCAUUGACUUUGAGGGUGUGUAACUUUUGCCAUCUGUAUGGGGAUGAUAAAACGUCCAUGUGAUCCUUCAGCUGUGGCGAGGAUUCUGGGAGCUGGAAGGUGAAGAGCACGCUGCAUUCUGUGCCUGAUGUGGACUGUGCACCUGAUGGAGGAGGGAUAUCAUCAUCUCAAACCAUGCCCCAUCCCCAUUUUACAGGUGAGGAAACUGGGGCAUAGAGAGGACCAGUUCCUCUGAGGUCAGCCAGCAAGUGCAUGGCAGAAUCAAGUCUCAAACUGGGAGGUGUCUGCUCCCUCAGCCCAGGACUUUCGUUGAAAGCCUCUGAGUCACCAGGGGCACUGAAGUCCCCUCUGGGUGUCUCAAGCAACCCCACAAGGACUGUGUUUUCAAAUUAUAGAUGAGAAGACCACCAGCCUGGACAACAUGGCAAAACACCUGCAUCUCUACAAAACAAAAAGAGAAUAGCGGCCAGGCGCUGUGGCUCACACCUGUAAUCCCAGUACUUUGGGAGGCCUUAGGCAGGUGGAUCACGAGGUCAAGAGAUCGAGACCAUCCUGGCCAAAAUGGUGAAACCCUGUCUCUACUAAAAAUACAAAAAAUUAACUGGAUGUGGUGGCGCGCACCUCUAGUCCCAGCUACUCGGGAGGCUGAGGCAGGAAAAUCACUUGAACCUGGGAGGUGGAGGUUGCAGUGAGCCAAGAUUGCGCCACUGCGCUCCAGCCUGGCGACAGAGCGAGACUCCAUCUC
rnacentral:sRNA from 1 species